rnacentral:rRNA from 1 species
CCUACGGGCGGCAGCAGUGAGGAAUAUUGGUCAAUGGCCGUAAGGCUGAACCAGCCAAGUCGCGUGAAGGAAGAAGGAUCUAUGGUUUGUAAACUUCUUUUGUAGGGGAAUAAAGGUAUCCACGUUUGAAUAUUUGCAUGUACCCUAUGAAUAAGCAUCGGAUAACUCCGUGCCAGCAGACGAGGUAAUACGGUGGAUGCGAGCGUUAUCCGGAUUUAUUGGGUUUAACGGGUGCGUAGGUUGUUUUUGAAGUCAGCGGUGAAAGUUUGUGGCUCAACCAUAAAAUUGCCGUUGAUACUGGAAGACUUGAGUGUGUUUGAGGUAGGCGGAAUGCGAGGUGUAGAGGUGAAAUGCAGAGAUAUCACGCAGAACUCCGAUUGCGAAGGCAGCUUACUAAGCCAGAACUGACACUGAAGCACGAAAGCGUGGGGAUCAAACAGGAUUAGAUACCCUUGUAGUC